rnacentral:rRNA from 1 species
UGGGGAUUAUUGCACAAUGGGCGCAAGCCUGAUGCAGCAACGCCGCGUGAACGAUGAAGGUCUUCGGAUCGUAAAGUCCUGUCGCAGGGGAAGAUAAUGACGGUACCCUGUGAGGAAGCCCCGGCUAACUACGUGCCAGCAGCCGCGGUAAUACGUAGGGGGCUAGCGUUAUCCGGAUUUACUGGGCGUAAAGGGUGCGUAGGUGGUCUUUCAAGUCGGUGGUUAAAGGCUACGGCUCAACCGUAGUUAGCCUCCGAAACUGGAAGACUUGAGUGCAGGAGAGGAAAGUGGAAUUCCCAGUGUAACGGUGAAAUGCGUAGAUAUUGGGAGGAACACCAGUAGCGAAGGCGGCUUUCUGGACUGCAACUGACACUGAGGCACGAAAGCGUGGGUAGCAAACAGG